UGCUGGAGGUAUCAGAAGUGCGAAUGCUGACAUAAGUAACGAUAAAGCGGGUGAAAAGCCCGCUCGCCGGAAGACCAAGGGUUCCUGUCCAACGUUAAUCGGGGCAGGGUGAGUCGACCCCUAAGGCGAGGCCGAAAGGCGUAGUCGAUGGGAAACAGGUUAAUAUUCCUGUACUUGGUGUUACUGCGAAGGGGGGACGGAGAAGGCUAUGUUGGCCGGGCGACGGUUGUCCCGGUUUAAGCGUGUAGGCUGGUUUUCCAGGCAAAUCCGGAAAAUCAAGGCUGAGGCGUGAUGACGAGGCACUACGGUGCUGAAGCAACAAAUGCCCUGCUUCCAGGAAAAGCCUCUAAGCAUCAGGUAACAUCAAAUCGUACCCCAAACCGACACAGGUGGUCAGGUAGAGAAUACCAAGGCGCUUGAGAGAACUCGGGUGAAGGAACUAGGCAAAAUGGUGCCGUAACUUCGGGAGAAGGCACGCUGAUAUGUAGGUGAAGCGACUUGCUCGUGGAGCUGAAAUCAGUCGAAGAUACCAGCUGGCUGCAACUGUUUAUUAAAAACACAGCACUGUGCAAACACGAAAGUGGACGUAUACGGUGUGACGCCUGCCCGGUGCCGGAAGGUUAAUUGAUGGGGUUAGCGGUAACGCGAAGCUCUUGAUCGAAGCCCCGGUAAACGGCGGCCGUAACUAUAACGGUCCUAAGGUAGCGAAAUUCCUUGUCGGGUAAGUUCCGACCUGCACGAAUGGCGUAAUGAUGGCCAGGCUGUCUCCACCCGAGACUCAGUGAAAUUGAACUCGCUGUGAAGAUGCAGUGUACCCGCGGCAAGACGGAAAGACCCCGUGAACCUUUACUAUAGCUUGACACUGAACAUUGAGCCUUGAUGUGUAGGAUAGGUGGGAGGCUUUGAAGUGUGGACGCCAGUCUGCAUGGAGCCGACCUUGAAAUACCACCCUUUAAUGUUUGAUGUUCUAACGUUGGCCCCUGAUCGGGGUUGCGGACAGUGUCUGGUGGGUAGUUUGACUGGGGCGGUCUCCUCCUAAAGAGUAACGGAGGAGCACGAAGGUUGGCUAAUCCUGGUCGGACAUCAGGAGGUUAGUGCAAUGGCAUAAGCCAGCUUGACUGCGAGCGUGACGGCGCGAGCAGGUGCGAAAGCAGGUCAUAGUGAUCCGGUGGUUCUGAAUGGAAGGGCCAUCGCUCAACGGAUAAAAGGUACUCCGGGGAUAACAGGCUGAUACCGCCCAAGAGUUCAUAUCGACGGCGGUGUUUGGCACCUCGAUGUCGGCUCAUCACAUCCUGGGGCUGAAGUAGGUCCCAAGGGUAUGGCUGUUCGCCAUUUAAAGUGGUACGCGAGCUGGGUUUAGAACGUCGUGAGACAGUUCGGUCCCUAUCUGCCGUGGGCGCUGGAGAACUGAGGGGGGCUGCUCCUAGUACGAGAGGACCGGAGUGGACGCAUCACUGGUGUUCGGGUUGUCAUGCCAAUGGCACUGCCCGGUAGCUAAAUGCGGAAGAGAUAAGUGCUGAAAGCAUCUAAGCACGAAACUUGCCCCGAGAUGAGUUCUCCCUGACCCUUUAAGGGUCCUGAAGGAACGUUGAAGACGACGACGUUGAUAGGCCGGGUGUGUAAGCGCAGCGAUGCGUUGAGCUAACCGGUACUAAUGAACCGUGAGGCUUAACCUUACAACGCCGAAG
rnacentral:rRNA from 1 species